rnacentral:rRNA from 1 species
UACGUAGGGCGCAAGCGUUGUCCGGAAUUAUUGGGCGUAAAGAGCUCGUAGGCGGUUUGUCGCGUCUGCUGUGAAAACUCGAGGCUCAACCUCGGGCUUGCAGUGGGGUACGGGCAGACUAGAGUGCGGUAGGGGAGACUGGAAUUCCUGGUGUAGCGGUGGAAUGCGCAGAUAUCAGGAGGAACACCGAUGGCGAAGGCAGGUCUCUGGGCCGAUACUG